CUACAGGAAAUGUCGUUACUUUGUACUUUUACUUUGUAGUUUUAUUCGAAUAAGAAGGUGGAGAGCACAAGCCAUAGUGAAAGCGAAGCCGGGCGGAAGCCGUGCGAAAGCCGUGUGAAAACCGGGUAUCUCUCCUCAUUCCUGUGAAUAAAGUGGAUUUUUUGGAGAAAGAUGUUCAGAACAUUCGCCUGAGGCAGCGGACACGAGGAGAAGCACCUAUGAGGGCGUGCAGACAAGCAGGGCGUGGACGUGCGCCGGUGAGAGGGCGUGGACAAGCAUCUUUAAGGGGGCGUGGAUGGCCACUGGUGCGGGGGCGUGAACGGGUGCUGGUAAUGGGGCGUGGACAAGCACCUUUGAGGGGGCUUGGACGGGCGCGGGUGCAAGGACAAGCACCUUUGAGGGGGCGUGGACGGGCGCGGGCGUGUGGACAAGCACCAUUGAGGGGGCGUCGAUGGGCACCGGUGCAGGGCCGGGGACGUGCGUCUCUACGGGGACAAGCUUCGGAGAUGGACGAAACCAGCGGUAAGAUGCACACCUGUACACGAUGUGUUCCGUUUCAGUGUUCCCGGGUCGGCGUCGAGGGAAGAAGCACGGGCCCGAGUGAAUGUGCCCCGGUGUGAGUACAAGGAGGAAAAGCACCAGGGCAGGAAUAAAUUAAACAUUUAAAUAAAAGCUCUGCCUGGUGAACCAUCACGCCACCUCUGUUUUCCAAACCAGAACCCAGCCUGCUGCCACAUCGCUUGUCCAGAAGUGAACGGGGCGUCUUCCUCCUCUUCUUCCUCUCAGACUGCUGGAGUCUCACAAAACGUCUCCACUGCAGGGGAGAGCAAUGUUCAUGCCCCUGUUCUGUCAGAAGGAAACUAUCACGGCCCGGUGACCAUGAACUUCACCACCACACCAAAGACCUGAACAUGCUCCUGUUCCACAUGGGGGGUUUUACUUCAGGGAUUAGUGAAGGCCAGAGGCAGUAAUGUGUGUAAAGUGUAUUUGAGAUUAAUUGAAAGGUUUUUAUGAGGUUAUAUAUUGUUGCUCCCUUGACUAGAUUUAGAUGAUUUUUUUACUCGCAUUAGAUCUUUUUCAAACUAAACCUACCUCAGCCACAGCACAGGAAGUGGAACCGUUUGAACCCUCACGCUUUGAAGGGCAGGAGAUCAAUACCGUAGCAGAUGUUCAAUACAAAGACAUCUUUUAUACUUUUUCACUUUUAUACUUUUAACUCAGGUAACAAUAAACCAGCCAAAUGUUCUUACAUGUGAUCUUCUGAAAGACCAAAAUAAAAUGUUUUCAAAAAAUC